UUUUAUAAUUUUAUAUUGGAUAGGUUAUUACUUAUUAUGGAGGUUAUAAUUUUUUGGCAGAACUCAGCUCAGAGAAUCGAAUAAGGAUUUUGUCUUUUGUAUUUUGAUAAUUUUAGACGUGAGACGUGGUACUGGUGGGUGGUACCAGGUACCAUCAUGGUGGUACCUCUUUGUCUUUUGGUCUUUAAGUCUUUAGUCUUUACCUUUACGUACCUACCAUGCCUACCAUGUACCUACUAAGUUCUUUAAAGUGUUUUACUUCAAUUCGAAUUGAAAAAUAUAUGGACAAUAAAAUGUCAGACAGCAAUUUAGCAACAUAAAAAAUAAAUAGCAAUGCUUCUUCCAUGUGAAGAAAACAAGUUUUCUGAUCUGAUCAACAAAAAUAUAAAGAAGACUUGGACAAAGACAAGACACAAAGAAUUGCAGUGCAGUGGUUAUCUGCAAUUUAUAGUAUCAUGUCUGUGUAAAGUUUGUCACUAAUGUAAAAAUCAGCCAUGGAAAAGUUUGAUCUAGUUAGGCACUGCCAAACACAAAUCUAUGCCAAGUGGUUUCUGGACAGAUGCUAAUAUCAGAUGCUUUUAAAAAACAGACAAAAACAAUGGGUUUGGAACCAAGAUUGCAAGAAGCUAAUUAAAUUUGAGAAUGCCAGGAUUCAUUGCAAAACACAAUUUUCUCUUCAAAUUAAGAAAUUGAUCAUCUUACAUUGAUUGGUCAGUGCACUGUAUCCUGAUUUUGACAUUCCAAAAAACUUAAUUGUGGUCCUACAAAGCUCCUUCAUUAAAUGUAUUAGAAGAAAGAGAGGCAAACAAUGUAAUCAAGUUUAAUAAAGGAUGGAGCCGGCUUAGGAUUAUGUAUUGAAGGUUAAAGAGAUUCGCCACAAGGAAUGUGCCAUUAUUGGUCAGGAAGAUAUUUACAGGAAGAGCAGCUGAAAAUGAUAUCAAGUUCACAUUACCAACAAAAAUCCAAGCAAGAAGAUUCCAGGCGGCAAAGUCGGUGCAAAAAAAUCGAUCCACUUAAAAUUUUUUUCAUUUUUGAAGUCUCGAAUUUCCUAAACCUGUUGUCCGAUGUAAGUGAUUUUUUUACCAUGUUAUAGCCUAUAUCAUGUUACCAUGUAUAUAACAAUAUCGCUAUAAUAAUAUUGUUGCUGGACAUAUAAACUGUCAUUGGAUACCGGAUG
rnacentral:lncRNA from 1 species